UACGUAGGAGACGAGCGUUGUCCGGAAUCACUGGGCGUAAAGCGCGUGUAGGCGGGUCCGCAAGUCUGCUGUGAAAACUCCUGGCUUAACCGGGAGAGGUCGGUGGAAACUGCGAACCUGGAGGACGGUAGAGGCUGGUGGAAUUCCCGGUGUAGUGGUGAAAUGCGUAGAGAUCGGGAGGAACACCUGUGGCGAAGGCGGCCAGCUGGGCCGGACCUGGACGCUGAGACGCGAAGGCGUGGGGAGCGAACGGG
rnacentral:rRNA from 1 species